AGCGAACGCUGGCGGCAGGCCUAUCACAUGCAAGUCGAACGAAGUCUUCGGACUUAGUGGCGGACGGGUGAGUAACACGUGGGAACGUGCCUUUAGGUUCGGAAUAACUCAGGGAAACUUGUGCUAAUACCGAAUGUGCCCUUCGGGGGAAAGAUUUAUCGCCUUUAGAGCGGCCCGCGUCUGAUUAGCUAGUUGGUGAGGUAAAGGCUCACCAAGGCGACGAUCAGUAGCUGGUCUGAGAGGAUGAUCAGCCACAUUGGGACUGAAACACGGCCCAAACUCCUACGGGAGGCAGCAGUGGGGAAUCUUGCGCAAUGGGCGAAAGCCUGACGCAGCCAUGCCGUGUGAAUGAUGAAGGUCUUAGGAUUGUAAAAUUCUUUCACCGGGGACGAUAAUGACGGUACCCGGAGAAGAAGCCCCGGCUAACUUCGUGCCAGCCGCCGCGGUAAUAC
rnacentral:rRNA from 1 species